UCUAAUUGAGCUUUUGUGUCCUUUUUUCAGUGUUGUAUACCGUUGAGUUCCAGAAGCGGGGACUGCCUCACGCGCAUAUACUUGUCUGGCGGAGAGGGGGUAACGAUGGCGAUGACUGAUCUGCAGGCUCUUGUUGUGGGGAACAAGAACCUGACCAUCCAUGUGUAUGUUUCGCGUCUGUGGCAGCAUUGUGGAUCCACUGAUAACAGUCCUAUCAAAGACACUGACAUGGUCCUUUUGGAUGUGUAGGGCAAACAUCUAUUCUGAGAUUGGUGAGAAGCUUGUGCCUAAGUUCAAUUGAGGCAACCACAUCCAUGUUGUUUCUUGGCAUGAGCAACCA